UUCCUGGAGGACUAGUGGUUAGGCCACAGCGCUCUCACUGAUGUACCCUAGGAUCGAUUCCCCGCCAGGGAA